CAGCGUAGUAGUUUAGAUAAAAUAUUACUUUUGGGGAGUUAAGAACUUGGUUUCAAGCUCGCUGGCC
rnacentral:tRNA from 1 species